rnacentral:misc_RNA from 1 species
AAAGUCGUAACAAGGUUUCCGUAGGUGAACCUGCGGAAGGAUCAUUAUCGUGGGGCUUCGGCCCCGUCGAGAUAACACCCUUGCCUUUAUGAGUACCUUGGUUCCCUCCCCCGACCUCCGGGGAGCGGGAGGGACCUCUUUGUUUCCCCACGUAGCUCGCUACCGGGGACCGCAAAACACGCUGUAAUCACCUGUAACCGUCUGAUAAAACAAACAAAAAUCAAAACUUUCAACAACGGAUCUCUUGGUUCUG